GACGAACGCUGGCGGCGCGCUUAACACAUGCAAGUCGAGCGAGAACCUGGACUUCGGCCCUGGGGACAGCGGCGAACGGGUGAGUAACACGUGGGUAAUCUGCCCUUGACAUCGGGAUAGCCCGGGGAAACCCGGAUUAAUACCGAAUAGCCUCCGGAGCCUUCGGGCGCCGGAGAAAAGGUAGCUUCGGCCUCUGGUCAAGGAUGAGCCCGCGGCGGAUUAGCUUGUUGGCGGGGUAACGGCCCACCAAGGCGACGAUCCGUAGCUGGUCUGAGAGGACGAUCAGCCACACUGGGACUGAGACACGGCCCAGACUCCUACGGGAGGCAGCAGUGAGGAAUCUUGCGCCAAUGCGGGAAACCGUGACGCAGCGACGCCGCGUGGGGGAAGAAGGCCUUCGGGUUGUAAACCUCUUUCAGGAGGGACGAAGCCACUCGGGUUAAUAGCCCAGAGGGUGACGGUACCUCCAGAAGAAGCCCCGGCUAACUACGUGCCAGCAGCCGCCGUAACAC
rnacentral:rRNA from 1 species